CACCCAGGACGGUGGAUCACUCGGCUCGUGGGUCGAUGAAGAACGCAGCAAAUUGCGCGUCGACAUGUGAACCGCAGGACACAUGAACAUCGACGUUUCGAACGCACAUUGCGGUCCAUGGAUUCCGUUCCCGGGCCACGUCUGGCUGAGGGUCG
rnacentral:rRNA from 2 species